UCUUAUUGCUUAACCCUAACCAUUGUUUUCUUCUCCUUCUUCUCACACCCAUGGUCGGCACACCCAUAAUUGAUAUUCUUUGCUUCGUAAAAUCUCGGGUAUACACUCUUGGGAGGACAAUAUGAAGAAUAAAAAGAAAGGAGAAAGAGGCAACAAGAUUUAGGUUUUUAGAUAUGACUCUUAUGUCAUAUAUUAUAGGACAUAAAUGUUACUUUAUUUGGAAUUGAGAAUUUUGGGUUUUUGGAUGCAACUCUUGUGUCAUUUUAUGGUUAGCCGGUUUUAUGCAUAUGAAAUGCAAGUAUACAUGAAUGUUGGGAAGCUUAACAUUUCUAAAUCAUGUUUUAAUGUGUAUUCACUUUUCUUUUUUA